AAACAUACUUAUAUAAUAACUUAAAUGGGUUUGAUAUUUACUCCCUUUAAAUUUAAAAAUGAUAUACUUAACCCCCUUACAUUAACAAUUUAAGUUAUUUUAAAAUGAAAAAGGCCAUACUGCCCCUAGUCAAUUUAAAUUAUUUUACAAGCCAUAAACAUCUAUGAAAAUGAAAUUGUUAAUUGUGAAUUUUAAAUCACAUAGUUGAAGUGCGACACCUGUGAAACAUUCUCCAUGCCCAAUUUGUCCUUGUAAAGAAUGAAGAGAAAAUUGAAAGAGUAAGGAUAAAGUGGGUAGCUCUCAAAGAGGAAACAUGAGCCGCUUUAACAACUUAAAAAAUGUAGAAAAUGUAUCCCUAAGUAUUUUAAAAUUGCCACAUGUAAAUAGAGAACCACUGUAAUAGUGACAGACAUUCUACCAAAAUUACUACACGUUAGCACAUACCACCACAAAAUAUCUUUUUAAUAGUCACAUGCACUAAAAAAAAAAAAAGGAGAUCAACUGAGCAAUCGCCUAAUUCGUCUUCAAUGAAGUUAGCAGUUCUCUCAAUCCAUUUGGCUCAUUUGAAACAAACCAAUUAGAAUACAUGACAUGCUUCAAUAGAGAUAGUGUCACAGAUGACAAAUGUCAAACCCUAAAGAGUUAAAAGGACUCAAGACGAGCAAGAACAUUCAAUAACAAUUCGUCACUCGUCCUAAAAGACAUAAAAAUAGCCUUAUGGACACUCACUUUGUAAGGUUAGGUUAGUCUCACAAAAAGGUAACUUUUUUCAUUCCCACAACACUCAAACUUUAUCUUGUUCAAGGGUUUCUUUGAAACCCAUCAAAUUCUCCAGGCUUCACCUGACUUGAUUGUCAGAGCGUUGUAAUUGACCAUCCUCGAAAUCACCUCUAACAGCUCCUUUUUUUUUUUUUUUUUUUCUUAUUUUAAGGAUUAUCCCUAUUCUAAUCAUCCUUGGAAAACUACCCUAAAGCAGCACAGUCUUCAUCAUUUGCCGAACCACCUCUCAAAGUAAAGCUCUCAUUAUGUUUUUAUAUUGCAUCAAAAUUAGACUAAAAUAAAAAUAUUAUGCAUGUGUUAUGACAAUGUUGUCUUUAAUAAGUUGAAUUGACUAUCUAAUUUGUGUAAUUUUUUUAUUUUCAUAUUUUCUUGGCUUAAAAUAUGAAACAUCUAAAUAAUUUGGGCAACACAAUACUUGAAGGUUUAAUGAAGCUUAUUUUAUGUGUUAUCAAAGAGAAUAUACUAUCUUACGUAAGAAAUAAAAUUAAUAUAAUCCGUGAUAUGAUGAAAAUGAAAUUAUCUUGUUAUGAAAAAAAAACUUUAAAAGAAAAUUCGAUAAAUAAAUAACUUAUGUUUAUGCCAAAAUUCUAAAUAAAAAUAAAUAAAUUAGGUUAAGUAGUUAAGGACAAUAUUAUCGUAACAUAUAAAUUUUUUUUUUUUAAAUU
rnacentral:lncRNA from 1 species